ACAAUUAAACACCCAAAAGUUGUUAAACAUCAUUUCUCUUUUUCAAUAAAGUGAUUACAUAUCGGAAAAAUGCAAAGGUGAGCACCGGUACAUACCCCGUGUUGCAAAAAAGGGGAGGCUGCACAUUUCAAAUUUAUCACACAAGUAUGUAUUGCACAAAAGUAUUAGCACUAACAAAGUGACAAAGUUACACACUUGUGAGUUAUUCGCAAAACACACACACACACUUGUGAGUUGUAAAAGACGACCAAUUUGUGGCCCAUAGUGCCAAAAAUCCACGAUACCGAAAAAGGGUUUCCCCCGUUUAUAUUAUAAAGCAACCAUCACCGAUAACAAUCAUCGCAAACAAUUCAACACCACACCACACUACCACACAACACACCCAAGGCCGGAUACAACAGGUAAAGGAACAACCACGAAGCUGAGCUCUGCGAAAGUAGGCCUCCAAGACGGCGCCUUCAAGAAGGAGAAUGACACCGGAGCACCGUCGCCAUCGGAUCCAAAGGAUCAUGGUUUUCACCUGAACCAUCCGAAGGAGGAGAGUAGCCACGACGACGCCUUCAGGAAGGAGACGACGCCCGCGGACGCCGCCGUCGUAGGCCCAACCGAAGCCGAGUAGGGGAUCUCUCCUGGCGCACCCUCCACCUUCAAAACACCUCUGCUAGCCGAAGCACCGGCCACAGCGUCGCCCGAACGGCCAUAGCGACCAGCCCACACCUGAGCCGCGCACCCCGCCCACAAGCAACAUGACUACCACCACCACUGAGGCCGUUGCCACGUCAUCCAAGACCUCCCCCCCCACGCAACCACCACAACGGCUAAUGGACGCCACCGACCGGUGAAGAGGUAGAAGGCACCUCCUUCCACCCCAGAACGGACCCUUUGGUGGGAAGGCGGCCCAGCCGGCUAGAUCCAGGCAGGGGAGGGGCGCCGGCAGCCGCCGGCCUCGUCCUCGCCGCAACCACCGCACCACUCCACUGGGGACAUGGAUCACCGAGACAUCGGCACGGUCAGGAGGCCCCCUGCCUCCCUCCCCGGAUCGCCCCCACCACCACCGGCCAGCCAAUGGCACCCCCGUCAAGCCGCCGGCAUCCACCAGCCGGCCGCCACCGUUCGCCACACGCACUAGCCGAAGAGUAGAGGAGAGGGGGUCGACCGCCGCCUGAGCCGCCCAUCGGCCACCAAGAACGCCUCGAACAGAGCCGCCACAGCCCGCGCCGCCCGCGGGGCAGAUCCAGCCGAAGCCGCAGCCGCCACCCCGGCCACGCAUCCGCCCGGCAUGCCGCUCCGCAACUCCGCCGCCGAGCACAGCUGCGCGCCGCCGCCCGGGAGCGCCCUCCCGCGCCAAGCCCCCAUGAGCGGGGAGAGAAAGGGCCCCUCUGCCGCCAGCACCCACCGGGCUUUGCCCGGCGGCGCGGACAGGUGGCGGCGAGGGGAGGGAAGGGAGGGAGGGGGAACGCGCGCUGGCGGCUAGGGUUAUCCCCUCGGUUGCUCGCGGGAGCAACUCGAGGGGAGGGAGAGAGUGCCUAAUCUUGCCAACCAGAUCUCGAGAAGUUCUUUUGAAAAUAAAUGUAAGACAUUUUAGGUCACUACUUUAGUGAUUUUUUUUGAAAAGGGGAUUACCCCGGCCUCUGCAUCAUAGGAUGCACACAGCCAUCUACUUUAGUGAUUUAAAACGUCUUAUAUUUGUUUACAGAGUGAUUCUCUCUGACGGUUGUGUUUCCACUGUUCGUUUGAAGCAUUCUAAGUGGACAACUUUAUGCCUUAAGCACAACACAUGUACAUCAAUGUAAGCAUGUGGGUUAAAGGUAUCCUUAUUGAUAAAGCUAAUUUCUAUUCCAGGUACCAAGAAAGGC
rnacentral:lncRNA from 1 species